CUGAAUAAGGAACGCUGCAACAGGGUUUCCCUGCUAGGCUUAUUCACUAUAUAUACUUAAACCGCGUUCAUUAUUA
rnacentral:ncRNA from 2 species